rnacentral:lncRNA from 1 species
CAGAAACAAAGACAAAACAAAUGGAAAAUGAAAAGUGGAUCGGCGAUGGCUAGUAGAGCGGCGACGCCGACCGUCGAGCGCCGCCCGAACAAGGAGAGGAACCGACUUCGGCUGAAGUCGUGACAAAUGUGCUCUGAAGGAGGACUAAAUUGUCUUUUUAAAUACAGACAAAGAUGUUAACAUCAUGAGAGAAGAAAUAGCAGUCACUCUCCUCCAAAACACUGAUGACCUGAGCCAAAUGUGCCACUUUUGUGGGGAGGUGGACAAUAAUGAGGAAGACUGGAUUGGUUGUGACCGCUGCCCAGGAUGGUUCCACCAGUCCUGUAUGAAAACCAUCCCAUCAUUGGAGGAUUAUGUCUGCGCUGCCUGUCAGGACUAGGUUAGGCUUGAGUUCCAGGCGACGGUAUCACCUGGAAAACUUUCCAUAAAAAGUGGACUAAAUGUUCAGUCAAGCUGUUGUCGCUUUCCAAUAUUU